GAUGAACGCUAGCGGGAGGCCUAACACAUGCAAGCCGAGCGGUAUUUGUCUUUCGGGACAGAGAGAGCGGCGUACGGGUGCGGAACACGUGUGCAACCUGCCUUUAUCAGGGGGAUAGCCUUUCGAGAGGAAGAUUAAUACCCCAUAAUAUAUUGAAUGGCAUCAUUUGAUAUUGAAAACUCCGGUGGAUAGAGAUGGGCACGCGCAAGAUUAGAUAGUUGGUAGGGUAACGGCCUACCAAGUCAGUGAUCUUUAGGGGGCCUGAGAGGGUGAUCCCCCACACUGGUACUGAGACACGGACCAGACUCCUACGGGAGGCAGCAGUGAGGAAUAUUGGACAAUGGGUGAGAGCCUGAUCCAGCCAUCCCGCGUGAAGGGCGACGGCCCUAUGGGUUGUAAACUUCUUUUGUAUAGGGAUAAACCUAGAUACGUGUAUCUAGCUGAAGGUACUAUACGAAUAAGCACCGGCUAACUCCGUGCCAGCCGCCGCAGUAA
rnacentral:rRNA from 1 species